CAUGUGUUCAUCAUUUUCACCAGUUUCAUCAAAAUCCCAAAAAUUUAAAAAACGCUGUUGUCAAAAUUAAUUAACUCAAACAAAUCAAAAUUAUUUUCGGUAAACCUUAAACAUAUUCAUCAUCUUCAAAAAUCAAAAUCCCUAAAUUGAUCAUAUUGCAUGAUACUCUACUACUUGAAGUAAGGUUUUGCUUAUCAAAAAAAAAAAAAAAAACUUGAAGUAAGGUUUUAUUCUACACUUGAUUAUAUUGUUUAGUACAAUAUACAUUAAAGUGAAAAAUCGCGAAACAGAAUGAGAACUUUGUUUAGAAUCAAUUAUGAGGGAAUCUUGGAUUAUAGAGUAAAAUAUCAUUAUAGAAUAAUUUUCUUUUGAACUGUAGGUACUUGUUGAUGGCAUUAAUGCAUAUUCCAUGUUAUGGCUUAUUUUUGGUGAUUCUAGAAACGAAACACUAUUUCUUGUCAAAAUGGUUUCCAUCAUCUAUUUCCGCUUUAUUGUCAAACAAUAUUAUUUUUAAUUUGUGAUUUUUCGUUUUCUAUCAUGAAAGCUUAUAAACUAAUUAAAGAAAAUUUGUUAAAAAAUAUGAAUUAUUUAAAUUUGUAUAUUUUACAUGACCUCUUUACAAAAGUUGUUAAAGGGGCAACACAUUGGUGUACUUAAUUAAGAGACAGCUAAUAAUUAUAAACAAAAAAUGGAAGUUUUUCACAACUCUGAAAGUACUAUAAAAACUAUUUAUUAAUUGAUGUAAGGAGAACAAUAGCUUUAUAAAUCAAGACGUGAUAAACUACAAUUCUAUGUAAUACAUACUAAAGGUGGAGAAAAUAUGGAUAAAAUUUUCAAGUUUGUUAAUGUUAUGAUAAUCAUUCUUUCCCUAUUACUUGUUUCAAUACAAAGUCAGGUUUAUGCUGCCAGGCCAUGUAAAACUGAUGGUGAUUGUCGAGUCCGUUACUACACUGCUCGCAAAGAAUUUCCUAUAAGAAUGAAGUGUCGUAAUGGUUUUUGCAUAGAAUGCUAAUUAUAAACGUAUUACUAAAAUAUUCCAUGAAUUCUUCUUUAGGUGAUGUGACCCAUUAAAUAAAUUUUGUUUUAGCUUUUCUAAUUUCACGUACCUUAUUAGUUUUGUACUUUAAGAUGAUGCAAGCGAAAUGAAAUAAAGCAUGAAAAAUAUUAUCUAAA